rnacentral:rRNA from 1 species
CCUACGGGAGGCAGCAGUGGGGAAUAUUGGGCAAUGGGCGCAAGCCUGACCCAGCAAAGCCGCGUGAAGGAAGAAGGCAUUCGGGUUGUAAACUUCUUUUCUCAGGGACGCAGCAAGUGACGGUACCUGAGGAAUAAGCCACGGCGAACUACGAGCCAGCAGCCGCGGCAAUACGUAGGUGGCAAGCGUUAUCCGGAUUUAAUGGGCGUAAAGCGCUCGUAGGCGGUAUGUCAAGUCAAGGGUGAAAUCCCCGCGCUCAACGUGGGAACUGCCUUUGAAACUGGCAAACUGGAGUGUGUGAGAGGAUAGUGGAAUGCGAGGUGUAGGGGUGAAAUCCGUAGAUAUCUGGAGGAACCUCAGUGGCGAAGGCGACUAUCUGGCACAUAACUGACGCUGAGGAGCGAAAGCGUGGGUAGCAAACAGGAUUAGAUACCCUAGUAGUC